UUUCAUAUAUUAGGUGAUCCAUCAUACUCCAACAAUUCCUUUUCUGUGUCCACUUCCAGCAGUGCCAAAUUUGCCUCUGAAACUGAAGAGAUUGAGCUGUCUAGUUUGAGUGCUUAUCAUCAAGCCACUGGUCAAUACGAGUCAGAUAGUGCCUCCCACAUAACAGCAGAUCCUUCCAGCCAAAGCACGGGAGCAUCUUCUAACAGCAGUGUACCAUCUGCACUCAGUUGUGGUAAAAAUGGUAACCACCAAGAACAGAAGGGAAAUAAUAGUACAGGUCAAUUAUUCCAUC